UACGAAGGGGGCUAGCGUUGUUCGGAAUUACUGGGCGUAAAGCGCGCGUAGGCGGACAUUUAAGUCAGGGGUGAAAUGCCGGGGCUCAACCUCGGAACUGCCUUUGAUACUGGCGAUCUUGAGUCCGGGAGAGGUGAGUGGAACUGCGAGUGUAGAGGUGAAAUUCGUAGAUAUUCGCAAGAACACCAGUGGCGAAGGCGGCUCACUGGCCCGGUACUGACGCUGAGGUGCGAAAGCGUGGGGAGCAAACAGG
rnacentral:rRNA from 1 species